rnacentral:lncRNA from 1 species
AUUACAGGCGUGAGCCACCGCGCCCGGCCGAUUUACCACUCUUGAUGUUCACCACCUGGCUGAGUCUGGAAUCAUUUCUUCAUAAUGACAUUUUCUCCUUUUAUUGGAGAAUGUUAGAAACCAAGAUCAAGAGCUUGAUGUGCUUGUUGAUACUGGAGUGUCAUUGAUUCUUGGCCCUGUCAACUGACCAGAUCAAGGAACUACAUGUGUAUAAGCUAAGACAGAGCCUAACCAGAAGCCAGAGAACAUGGGAACUCAAUGAUGCAUCCUGUAUGUCAGCCUCCUGGGCG